rnacentral:rRNA from 1 species
UACGUAGGGGGCAAGCGUUGUCCGGAUUUAUUGGGCGUAAAGAGCGUGUAGGCGGCCUGAAAGGUCAGCUGUGAAAACUCGAGGCUCAACCUCGAGACGUCGGUUGAAACCAUCUGGCUAGAGUCCGGAAGAGGAGAGUGGAAUUCCCGGUGUAGCGGUGAAAUGCGCAGAUAUCGGGAAGAACACCCGUGGCGAAGGCGGUUCUCUGGGCCUGUACUGACGCUGAGGAGCGAAAGCGUGGGGAGCGAACAGG